rnacentral:SRP_RNA from 1 species
ACAGCCGGGCGGCGGCAGCGCCGCCAACCCCGCCAGGUUCGAAAGAAAGCAACGGUAACGGUUGAUGCCGGGUGUCCGGCUACCUG